ensembl:lncRNA CASC15 cancer susceptibility 15
CAGACCGUCUUUCCUCACAGCUCCACGGCUGCAUCUCCGUGGGCACGCAAGCUUCCCCUGGUUACCUGAGCUGCUCCUGCCGUCUCCCGCCUGGGCUUCGCCGUGGUGCACCCGAUCCCGGAAUCGUGCGUCUGCGCCCUGCGAAAGAAGGACCUGCUGGCGGAGCUCCGGCCGGGGUCUCCUGCCUCGCAGCUGGGCGAGGGGACUUGGAGGACAGGGUGAAGCUGCAGAAGACCUGGGGUGGGAUGGCUAGAGAGGACGCCAAGGACUGGGGAAGGGGAAGUUAGGAAUACCUUACAUCCAAUGCCCACCCGUGCUCCGCAGGGCAAGGGCAGCCGUCGCCUCGGCCGCGUGCACCCAGCUCAGGCUGUUCCCAGGGAUUUAGUCUGGGGGGACAACCCAUGGCGAGAUGUGGUGGCAUUUUACCUCAGAGUGGAGCUGAAGAUGGAUAAACAAGGCUCACAGGCAGAAGGAAUUUUCCUUGUCUUGGAUGAGACUUUUGACUUGGACUUUUGGGUUAAGUUCUGGAGACCAGAAGGCCAAAAUCAAAAGUAUGGGCAGGCUUGAUUUCUUUAGAAGACUCCAGCGGAGAACUGUGUCUCCUUGCUUCUGGGCACCGAGGAAGAGAACCAAUGGCAGAGGCCACAUGUGCAAGCAAGAUGGGAGUCUGGAGAGCCUCAGGCUAAAUCACGAGUGCUCAGCCCUCUCCUCUUUGUAAGGGCAACCGGGUCAUAUCUGCCAGCAUAGAACUGCUCUGUCCACAGCCCUAAAAUCUAAUACCUAGAACAAUAAAUGCACUUAAGCACGUCAAACUCUCUCAACCAGUGAUGAAAUCUGUCACUAGCGAAGGGACUUGUCCCAAGGGAGCUGAACACCUGCCGCUGCACCCUGACAAUGUAUAAGAAACAAGCACCACUGUGGAUGCAGCCCCAGAGGCCUAGUGUCAUGGGGGUGCAAGGCCCUGCUUCAGGCUGGGGGCCUGGGGAGGGGCUGGUACCUCUCUACCUCCUGCAGCUCCUGUUCCUCUGGCUCCUGGUGAAAAUCUGGGUCUGAACCCAUAGCAAGUGAGGGCCACAAGGCUUCACCUUCUGAGAUGCAGCUAGAAGAAACAGCUGGUAUAAUAUAUGGUCAUGCACUACCUAACUACGUUUCCUCAACAUGGGACUGCAUAUAUGACAAUGGUCUGUCCCGUGAGAUUAUAAUAAAGCUGAAAAAUUUCUAUCACCCAGUCAUAUCAUAGCCAUAGUAAUGUCAAGGCCCAAGGUAUUGUGUGUCUGUGGUGAUGCCGGUGUAAACAAACUUGCCACACUGCCAGUCAUAUGAAUAGAGCACAAACAAUUAUGUAAUAUAUAGUACUUGAUCAAAAUACACAACUAUAUUUCUGGUUUAUGUAUUUACUAUACUAUACUUUUAAUCAUUAUUUUAGAGUGUACUCCUUCUGCAUCUAUGUGUCAACUGCAAAACAACCUCAGGCAGGUCCUUCAGGAGGUAUUCCAGAGGAAGGCAAUGUAAUCACAGAUGACAGCUCUAUGCAGGUUAUCACCCCUGAAGACCUUCUACUGGGACAAGAUGUGGAGGUAGAAGACAGUAAUAUUGAUGAUCCUGACCCUGUGUAAGCCUAGGCUAAUGCAUAUGUGUGCUGUGUCUUAGUUUUUACCAAAAAGUUUAAAAAGUAAAAUAAAAAUAGGAAAUAGCUUAUGGAAUAAGGAUAUAAAGAAACCAUUUUUGUACAGCUGUACAUGUGUUUGUGUUUUCAGCUGUGUUAUUACAAAAAGGUCAAACUUUAAAAAUAAACAAGUUUAUAAAGUAAAAAGAUUUCAGUAAAGUACAGUAAGGUUAAUUUAUGGUUGAAGAAAAACAUUUUAAAAAUAAAUUUAGUGUAGCCUAAGUGUCCAGUGUUUCUAAAGUCUACAGUAGCGUGCAGUCAUGUCCUAGGCCUUCACGUUCACUCACCACUCACUCACUGACUCACCCAGAGCAAAUUCCUGUCCUGCAAGCUCCAUUCAUGGUAAGUGCCCUACACAGGUGUACCAUUUUAACCUUUUACAUCAUAUUUUUAUUGUACUUUAAACAUAUCUACAUUUACAUGUUUAGAUACAUAGGUGUUUACCAUUGUGCUACAAUUGCCUAUGGUAUUCAGUACAGUAACACGCUGUACAGGUUUGUAGCCUAGGAGUGAUAGCCUAUACCAUACAGACUAGGUGUGGUAGGUUGUACCAUCUAGGUUUAAGUAAGUAUACUCUAUGAUGUUCCCACAACAACAGAAUUGCUGAAUGAAGCAUUUCUCAGAAUAUAUCCCCAUGGUUAAGCAACCAAUGAGUGUAUUUUCUGUCUACCUUUCACCUCCAUAAUAUAUAUAUUUUUCUACAUUUCUCAUGGUAGAGGGAAAGAGCAACAGGACUUCCAGAAAAAAAACUAAUGUGUCUUCAGACUUCUGCUUGUAUGUGGCUCAUGUUAUAUCUGAGCGUAUGCUACUGGACAAAGUGAGUCACAUAGCCAAGGCUUACAAUGGGAUGGGGAAGCAUACUUCAUUUCUGUGAAGGCACUCUAAGUCACAUGGCAUCAGUGGGGUCAUCUUGUUCUUUUAUAGUGAAGAGGGGAGUAAAUAAUAGAGGACAAUAAUACAGUCCACCAAAGAUACUGAGGCCAAUUAUAUCCAAAAAGCAAGAUCAGUUUGGUGGAAUGACUUACUAAUGCACUGAGAUGCCCAUAUGCCCAUAUUCCCUGCCAAACAGUCUAAAUGGAAAACUAGAAUCCUAAUUAAAAUGAGAAAAGGCGUGUCACAAAGCUUCCUUUAUUGUAGAGCAGUUGAGUUGUGAUGUUCGUUACUAGAUUUUUUUUAUUAGCCUGUUGUUAGUUGUAUGUAUGCCUUCUAUUUAUUAAGCACUUAUUAUGAGCCAAGCAUAGUAGUAAACCUUUUUCUGACCUUAUUUAAACCUAUCAACAGUCUCAAGUUGGAACUAGGUCUCUUUCCAUUUACAGAUAAAAAUAUUAAAGGACAGAAUAACUAAGCAACUUGCCCAAAGUCACAGGUCCCUGCUCUUAUCUGCUAUAUUUUCUUUCUCUAUUUUUCUUUUUCGUGUAAUACAGAAAGCCCAUGAUCAUCCUGAUGCCUCCUCUGUGUGGAUAUCGCAGGAAUGGCAACUUACGACCUUAUGAAGUAGUUUAUUCUAAUUUAGGGUAGCUCAAAUUACUAGAACAAAUAUUUAAUGGGCCUUUAAUCUUCUACCCCUAAAAUUUUUUCCAGUUGGUUCUAGUUUUAUCUUAUGGAGCUAAAUGUAUGGAAAAUGAUUCAAAGAACCUUCCUUCAAGUAGUAGAAAUCAUCUUCUAGAUUUUAUCUUUCCCAAUCUAAAAAUACAUUGUUGUUUCAACAAUUCCAUGAAUAACAUGGAUUGUGGAUUUUUAUCAUCCUGGUUACUUUUCUCUUGGACUGCCAAACAUUUAAGUGCGGAACAAGAACUGUCUGCAAUAAAACAUAAUGAAUGUUUAUGCUAAAUUUUUAAGCAUCGACAGCUUCUAUUCAACUGAUGUAUCUCAGAACACAAAAGAGUACUUGCUGUUUCGGGAAAUUUGGUUCCUGUCUCCUUCUCUGAUCUGAAUUGUUAUGUUGAUAAAUUUGCCAUAUUCUGCUGAAGAACAAAUUCUGGCAUCUUCACUGAGGAAUCAGUGUCUGCCUCUAAUACUUCUUUCUGUGAAAUCCUGACCUGAAGUCUCCUCUAUCAUCCCAAAGAUUUAAAAAAGAUUAAAGGUGAGGCAUGGGUUUCUCUGGCCUGCUUUGGUAAAUUUAUGUGCUCACAUAACUCAUUAAUUGUUUAGGUUUAAUUCAAGACAAAUACCUGCACGUUUAUGUUUGACACUAGUAUUUAUCAAAUCCCAAAGCUGAUCUGAACCCUAAACAAACCAUAUUCUUGGCAGCUCCUCCAAAUAACACACAUAGCAAAUAUAUUGACAUCAGUUGUACUUUAAAAUGUCAACUCUGCUUUUCCUUUUCUCAUGGUGCUAAUAAAAGAUUUUAUUUAAAAAC